AGCCACGCAGUGAGUACAUUGCGAACUAUUCUUUUGCCUUUUACUAAAGAAUACCGUCUACUCAUUGCAGACAGUGGCAUACCCUUAUUUUUUCAAAGGGGUUUCCCAUGAAGCCCC